CUUAAUACAUGCAAGUCGUGGGGCAGCAGGUUUGUAGCAAUACAGAUGCUGGCGACCGGGCAAGCGGGUGCGGAACACGUACAGAACCUUCCUUGAGCGGGGAAUAGCCCAGAGAAAUUUGGAUUAAUACCCCAUAGUAUAAUGAAGUGGCAUCACUUUAUUAUUAAAGAUUUAUCACUCGAAGAUGGCUGUGCGGCUGAUUAGGUAGUUGGCGGGGUAAAGGCCCACCAAGCCUGCGAUCAGUAACUGGUGUGAGAGCACGACCAGUCACACGGGCACUGAGACACGGGCCCGACUCCUACGGGAGGCAGCAGUAAGGAAUAUUGGUCAAUGGAGGCAACUCUGAACCAGCCAUGCCGCGUGGAGGAUGAAGGUCCUCUGGAUUGUAAACUUCUUUUAUAUGGGACGAAAAAAGGCUUUUCUAAGUCGUCUGACGGUACCAUAUGAAUAAGCACCGGCUAACUCCGUG
rnacentral:rRNA from 1 species